AUCCAGAUGACGAGUCCCAAAUAGGACGAAAUUCGGAUCCUGGAU
rfam:Trichobilharzia regenti genome assembly, scaffold: TRE_scaffold0000017